GUGAACACGGAAUGAUUUGGGGUGGGAAACAAAGUAAAGAAAAAGAGCAAAAAAGGAAAGAAGGGAAGGGAGAGACUCAAGAAGAGACUGUGCACAAUUGAAAUGGGAAGAAAGAAGGAAUGGGAAGCAGUAGUGGAUAAAGAGCAAGGGAAACCAAUAGAAGGAAAAUACAUGUUAACAGGAAACAUACAUAGGAAGUGAUUUCUGCUUUGGUCUGCUAAAAACAGGCCUUUGGUGCCAUUAAAUUAGAACGGUCAAAAGGAUACUGAGGGCAAGGGAAAAAUAUAUUUAAAAAGUCAAUAAAAAGCUGUUAGUUAUAUUGUAAGAAAGAAAGCAAAGGAAACAAUAUUUUUCCUUCCUUUAAUUAAGGGGGAAAAAAAAGCAAAAAACCCCAGGCAUAUUUUAAUACAUCUCUGUGAGGAAUACAUUAAGUACAGCAAUAUUUGCAGAUGGAUCAAUCUGAGCUACUAACUUUAUGCACAGCUUUGGCUAAAACAAAAGCAACAAAACACACUGAAAAAUUCAGCAAGAUAUUAAACACUGCUUCUACUAUAGUACAUGCUGUCAAUAUUGGGAAAUGUCCUCCUGAACAGCUACUUCAAAAAUAUUGAUCUUUAGUAGAAAUGCUGGAAAAGCAUAUUUUAAAACCUGAUCAGGCAACUAAGACUGAAUUACUGUUCACAUUUGUGAUGACCCUCCAAAUGGUCUUUUUCCAAACAAAACAGACACACAUGGAAGUCAAGGUGCACACUGAUCUAUAGCAAAAGGUUACAUUUGCAUAGUCUAUGUUCAGAUAAUUUGAUGGUUACAAAAGGAACCUCUAAACUAAGGGAUGCAGUCAAAGUAGCAAGAUGUGAACCUCCACUUGGCAAAAGUCAUGUUACACUGUUCUUGCAAACUGGACAAAGGAAGCAUAAAUAGUGAAAGCCUGAAGUAUCUCACAUCUCACACAGGAGCCAGGCUAUACAGAUCUCUGUAAAUGUCACUCCAAACAACUGUAUUAUCCAAGUCUCAAGAGAAUAAGGAAAACUCAAAGAUAAACACAAGAAGCAGAAGAGAGAGAUCUUCUCUUGAAGCUAAGGUAAACGAACAGAUGGAAGCAUCACAGACCUCCCAACACCACUUCUGGCUUUGCCAAUUAUUGCCUGAAUACCAGAAAACAGACACAUUUUAAAGAAUGCCAUCUCUACUUUCUCCAUAAACUAAGAAUCAUCACACUGACAGGCCUGAAGAUUUAAGUCUGAGAAGCACUACAUCUCUGUAUGCAAGCAGCACCACAAAUCUCAGCAGAAGUCUAACAAUCACAGAAAAAGUGAUCAGAAAGACUAUGACCCUGACUCAUCCACAUUCCCAGUAAUUCAAAAUUAUUUCUAGUGGAAAGACCAGCAAAGCCUCUAAGCAAGGUAAGUUUCCAAUUUAGAUUUGUAUAGCUCCUGAGAAAUAAAUAAUAACAUUCUUUCCA
rnacentral:lncRNA from 1 species